rnacentral:misc_RNA from 1 species
GAUGAAGAACGUAGCUAAAUGCGAUAAGUAGUGUGAAUUGCAGAAUUCAGUGAAUCAUCGAAUCUUUGAACGCACAUUGCGCCCGCCAGUAUUCUGGCGGGCAUGCCUGUUCGAGCGUCAUUUCAACCAUCAAGCCCCCGGCUUGUGUUGGGGACCUGCGGCUGCCGCAGGCCCUGAAAACCAGUGGCGGGCUCGCUAGUCACUCCGAGCGUAGUAAUACAUCUCGCUCAGGGCGUGCUGCGGGUUCCGGCCGUUAAAAAGCCUUAUUUACCCAAGGUUGACCUCGGAUCAGGUAGGAAGACCCGCUGAACUUAAGCAUAUCAAUAAGCGGAGGA